rnacentral:rRNA from 1 species
GAUGAACGCUGGCGGCGUGCCUAAUACAUGCAAGUCGAGCGAACGGACUCGAAGCUUUCUUCGCUGGUGUUAUCGGCAGACGGGGGAUUAAAAGGGGGUUAACUGACCUAUAAGACUGGGAUAACGUCUGGAAACCGGGGCUAUAACCGGUGAAUAGUUUGAACCGCAUGGUUCAAAAGUGGAAAGCGGUCUUGCUGUCACUUAUAGAUGGGUCCGCGCUGCAGUAGUUAGUUUGUAAGGUAACGGCUUACCAAGGCAACGAUGGAUAGCCGACCUGAGAGGGAGAUCGGCCACACUGACACUGAGAGACGGUCCAGCCUCCUACGGGCGGCAGCAGUAGGUAAUCUUCCGCGAUGGACGAGAGGCUGACGGAGCAACGCCGCGUGAGUGAUGAAGGUCUUCGGAUCGUAAAACAAUGUUAUUCGGGAAGAACGUAUGUGUAAGUAGCUGUGCACAUCUUGACGGUACCUAAGUAGAAAGCCACGGCUAACUACGUG